UCCAGCCCAUUUCUACUAGCUUUAAAUCCAUUUAGUGACAGUAUGCUUUUAACAAAUGCAUGUAAAAUUUACACAUUCUCUUCACAGAUCUGAUUUUUUUAUGUGACUCAUAUUGCGCUACACAAAUGUUAUCCAAUCAAAUACCUUCUAGAGCAAGUCCCUCCUCCAAACACCAUCUGAAAGCGACUAACAGCACAGUGUAGCUCUGUGAAGUCUCUCAGUUGGAGAUGUAAGAAUAAUAACAGAUUUACCUUUACAGAAGAUCUGAACCGCUCUGAAUGUGAAGAAGUGUCCUGAGGAGCAGCAGGUGUUGAGAGCAGAAUUACUUCAAUGCGAAACAUAAGGACUGAGGAUUUCAUGCGGAAAGUUACUUACAGAUUAAGGGAUGUGUUUGAACAGAAGCAGAGCUCUGGACGUGUGGACAGACUUUCACUGUAAUGAUGGACAUCCGCUCGUGGACAGCACAGAAACAAACAAAUCCGACCCCCGCUGUGAUAAAGUGCAGGAAUGGAGAGUCACUAUUAAGGGAUGUGUUUGA
ensembl:lncRNA